rnacentral:misc_RNA from 1 species
CCGAAACGAGACUAAAUUAUAGGCGGGGAUAUUUAAGGGGGAUGGUAGAACAUCGCUCUGGCAUUCACCCCCAUCGAAGGAAGGGGACAGGACCGGUCAAUAGCAAAGCGGCCCGUCGUUCGAGAGACAAAGAGAGCCGCGGCACGAGCGAAAGCCGCGGCCGACGAGAGAGCGAGAGAACCCGAACCGAAAGAGAGAACGAGAGAGAAUGAAGGAGAUAGAGUAAAGAGGACAGCCAGUGGGAGAGACGAGGAGAAAGAUAGCCGAACGUGCAGAGACGAUGGCUCUGAGCUACCGGCCGCUUUCGUAUUGUCCACGCAUCCCUUCGAAUAAAUAGCGGCCGGAAUUUGCAGGUUCCUCGAAAAAAAAUCUUUUCUCUCUGAUUCGAUGGCGCCCGAUGCCCCCGCCAUUCUCAGAGAUAUGUUUCAUUUUUAGGGCGCCGCGAGAAAAUUGUUGGAAAAUGGCGGAACGUUUGCGGAUGGUCAAUUCCAUGGCGGUCGGCGAGGUCUCGUUUAUUUUUGCAUUUUAAGGCAUUGAAGAAAAGAAAAUGUUAAAAAAUAGGAAAAAGCGAGCGCUCGGGCACAGGGUGAGCCGAAGAGAGGGCGGCUCGAGGGAGGGAUCGGGGGAGUGGAAAAGAUGUGCACAAAAACGUACUGACGAACAUACAAUGAAGCAAAAAGAGGUAUCUAACCUACCAACGCGAAGUAGAAAUCUGUAGACCCGGGAAAGAGAAGAGUUGCGCUCGCAGGAUCGGGGUAUGACUAGCUCGGACCGACUAAAAGUUGAAAGAAGACGAGUUUCGUCGACGGAAUUCUUUAAAACACUUGUACAACCCACCUGCAUUGAUGCGCCAUGCGUCGUUUGUUGCUGGACGACAAUGACGCGAAACGUUCGCCGAAAGAAUUCCUACGUUUAUUCAUCAUUUUUCAAUUGUAUUCAGCGAAAACUUGUUUCUUCCGUGUAUCGUAAUGACACUUUAUUCCUAUCUACAGGCAGCUUCACCCAUGGUGCAAUGUCUUAUGGGGGAUAAGAAUAUAGAAUAAAAUGGCACCAGCGUAGGAUUAUGUGGAAGAAGUAGGGGAAGCCUCCACAAUAUUAAUUAUCAAAUUUAGGGGUUUGAACAUUUAAACUUCUGUAUUUUUUAUCUAUUCCAAAUUUAGAAU